rnacentral:tRNA from 1 species
GCCAGUAUGGUGGAUAUGACCUUCGGCUUGCAACCGAAUGGGCUCGGGUUCGAAUCCCUAAUAAGGCU